UCGAGAAUCUUCGGCAAUGGGGGAAACCCUGACCGAGCGACGCCGCGUGCGAGAUGAAGGCCUUCGGGUUGUAAAUCGCUGUCGUAGAGGAGGAAAUGCUGGUGGGUUCUCCCAUCAGUUUGACCUAUUCUAGGAGGAAGGACGGGCUAAGUUCGUGCCAGCAGCCGCGGUAAGACGAACCGUCCAAACGUUAUUCGGAAUCACUGGGCUUAAAGGGUGCGUAGGCGGUCCUGAAAGUUGGGUGUGAAAGCCCUCGGCUCAACCGAGGAAUUGCGCCCAAAACUACAGGACUUGAGGGAGACAGAGGUGAGCGGAACUUAGGGUGGAGCGGUGAAAUGCGUUGAGAUCCUAGGGAACACCAGUAGCGAAAGCGGCUCACUGGGUCUCUUCUGACGCUGAGGCACGAAAGCUAGGGGAGCGAAGAG
rnacentral:rRNA from 1 species